GGGGACUGGGCCGAGCCCGGCAGCAGUGCAACGCCAGGACGACCCUUGGGAAGUCGGAGCAAGCCCCGA
ensembl:ncRNA Y47H9A.3 ncRNA